AGUGAACGCUGGCGGUAGGCCUAACACAUGCAAGUCGAACGGCAGCACAGUAAGAGCUUGCUCUUACGGGUGGCGAGUGGCGGACGGGUGAGGAAUACAUCGGAAUCUACUUUUUCGUGGGGGCUAACGUAGGGAAACUUACGCUAAUACCGCAUACGACCUACGGGUGAAAGCAGGGGAUCUUCUGACCUUGCUCGAUUGAAUGAGCCGAUGUCGGAUUAGCUAGUUGGCGGGGUAAAGGCCCACCAAGGCGACGAUCCGUAGCUGGUCUGAGAGGAUGAUCAGCCACACUGGAACUGAGACACGGUCCAGACUCCUACGGGAGGAAGCAGUGGGGAAUAUUGGACAAUGGGCGCAAGCCUGAUCCAGCCAUACCGCGUGGGUGAAGAAGGCCUUCGGGUUGUAAAGCCCUUUUGUUGGGAAAGAAAAGCAGCAGGUUAAUACCCCGCUGUUCUGACGGUACCCAAAGAAUAAGCACCGGCUAACUUCGUG
rnacentral:rRNA from 1 species